rnacentral:rRNA from 1 species
CGCAUAAGCCCACGGCUCGGCAUCGAGCAGAGGGAAAAGGAGCAAUCCGCUUUGAGAUGGCCUCGCGUCCGAUUAGCUAGUUGGUGAGGUAAUGGCCCACCAAGGCGACGAUCGGUAGCCGGACUGAGAGAUUGAACGGCCACAUUGGGACUGGGACACGGCCCAGACUCCUACGGGAGGCAGCAGUGGGGAAUAUUGCACAAUGGGGGAAACCCUGAUGCAGCGACGCCGCGUGGAGGAAGAAGGUCUUCGGAUUGUAAACUCCUGUUGUUGAGGAAGAUAAUGACGGUACUCAACAAGGAAGUGACGGCUAACUACGUGCCAGCAGCCGCGGUAAAACGUAGGUCACAAGCGUUGUCCGGAAUUACUGGGUGUAAAGGGAGCGCAGGCGGGCGAUCAAGUUGGAAGUGAAAUCCAUGGGCUCAACCCAUGAACUGCUUUCAAAACUGAUUGUCUUGAGUAGUGCAGAGGUAGGCGGAAUUCCCGGUGUAGCGGUGGAAUGCGUAGAUAUCGGGAGGAACACCAGUGGCGAAGGCGGCCUACUGGGCACCAACUGACGCUGAGGCUCGAAAGUGUGGGUAGCAAACAGGAUUAGAUACCCUGGUAGUCCACACCGUAAACGAUGAUUACUAGGUGUUGGAGGAUUGACCCUUUCAGUGCCGCAGUUAACACAAUAAGUAAUCCACCUGGGGAGUACGACCGCAAGGUUGAAACUCAAAGGAAUUGACGGGGCCCGCACAAGCAGUGGAGUAUGUGGUUUAAUUCGACGCAACGCGAAGAACCUUACCAAGUCUUGACAUCCUGCGACGAUGCUAGAAAUAGUAUUUUCCUUCGGGACGCAGAGACAGGUGGUGCAUGGUUGUCGUCAGCUCGUGUCGUGAGAUGUUGGGUUAAGUCCCGCAACGAGCGCAACCCUUAUGGUCAGUUACUACGCAAGAGGACUCUGGCCAGACUGCCGUUGACAAAACGGAGGAAGGUGGGGAUGACGUCAAAUCAUCAUGCCCUUUAUGACUUGGGCUACACACGUACUACAAUGGCGUUAAACAAAGAGAAGCAAGACCGCGAGGUGGAGCAAAACUCAGAAACAACGUCCCAGUUCGGACUGCAGGCUGCAACUCGCCUGCACGAAGUCGGAACUGCUAGUAAUCGCAGAUCAGCAUGCUGCGGUGAAUACGUUCCCGGGCCUUGUACACACCGCCCGUCACACCAUGAGAGCCGGGGGGACCCGAAGUCGGUAGUCUAACCGCAAGGAGGACGCCGCCGAAGGUAAAACUGGUGAUUGGGGUGAAGUCGUAACAAGGUA